CGACCGAGCGUUGUUUGCCACAAAUCACCUCAAUCAUUGUUUGUUUACGGAGCAAUCAUAUUUCUGUAGCUUUUGGGCGCGCAGGGAAUGACGAGACAGGCACUUGUUGACCAAACUCGUCGGUCAAUUGACCUGUAGAAUUUUUGUUGCAUCAACCACAGUAAUUCCUCAAUCACAUAUUUUCAUCUGGAUCGUGUGCCAAAAACACAAUUAGUAUUAACUAUAUUUUUUGGAUAGCAGAAGGGGAAUUUUACGCGACGAAAAAAAUAUUCGCGGAUCGACAGACAUUGUAAUGUAAAAAUGCAACGCGAUGAGCGAUACAAAAAAUAACCCUCAGAAUUCGUAUGCUACGAGAAAAACAAAAGACUUAGUUCCGGUUGUAUUCUGGUCUGCAUAAAGAGAUUUUUCACCGGCUCUAUCGUUAUAUAAUGUUUUCUUUCGUUUAGUUGAAACUUGUAAAAAGUGUUGCAGUUUCUGGCAUUGAAGCUGCGGAAAGUAUAAAAAUAAAAUGAAUAACGUAACAAAACUUAAUGGAAGAUCAAGGCAAACGAGCUCGUUGCUUUCUUCGAAAUGGCCUUUUCAUUGAGAAAUAAAAAUCGCGUGUUUAUUUGAAGCAAAGAAAAAGGAGAAAUGAGCGAUCGAAACUUGACAUUAUUCGUUCGCUUGUUACACGAAUCGUGCACACGCAUUUUAUCAUCACGAAAUUAUACAAUAAUGCACACACAUUGAUACCAGUUGGAUCAAGAAAUUCUCGGAUUACGUUCUCAGCGUCCAAUGAGAACAUCCGAUGUGCCUAGCUGAUCGGAUGUGUGUUGAAUCUCUCUCUUUCGGCUAUCAACCAAUUACUCGCUCUUUCUAUAUUUUUCUUCCUAUCUUCGUCUCUCCGCCUCUCAGGCCGUAAAUAAACAGUAAAUACAGAGCGAGACUAAAACUUGUACGUCAGCAAAGCCCAACGGAGUUUGAUGGUGUGCGUAGGUGAGGGCAAUUUCGCAGGUGAAUUCUCCUUAUCGUAAAACGCACACGUGCAUACGUCACGACGGCGGGAUCUGCUGGAUCACGAUGUCGCACGAGACUGACCGACGACGUACGAAGGCCGCGAAGUGCUUCGGGAGGCCUUUAAAACGGCGGCGCCUCGUGCCAAGCUGGUCAUUCGAGACUGAAAGCUCGUAAAGUGCUAAUCGCGAGAGGAAAGAAACCGCAAAAGCAACAGGAGUACGCUGAGACUUUUGCAGGAGUCAAAGAAAUCGAAAAUCUCGGGAAAAACGAAGAAAAUUUGAACGUCAAUCGUACAUUCGGUUCCGCGUUUAAAUAAAUAUCAAUAAUCGUGUUCUAUAAUAUUACGGAACAUUGUGAAAUUGUGCCGAGUGCCGGGAACGAAAUCGUUUGCUUCGCUUCUCCUGUGAAAACAUCGAUCCAAAGUUCUUCGAUUCUCAAGCAAUUUGAGAAGACAAACUAGCAGUUUACCUAUUCCGAGAAUACGAAAUACUAACCCCGUCGAAGAUGUACACCAACCCGUUCAACCGCAAGCACAGCACGAUCCGUCAGGUUCUGGAUCGCCUUCUUGAUCCAACGAGAAAGCCCAUAAGACGGUCGGAAAGCGUUUCAAGCUCGGGUAGCAACAGUUCCAAGAGCAGCAAUGGUUCGUUCGGCUCAUCCUCUACUUCGAGUCAUGGACACCGUGGAAUACUUCAAUGGGGUAGAAAGUGAUGGAAGCCACUGAUGGAAGAAACAAAAUCGAUAUAUUAUAGUCUUUUGAUGGACAAAAGACGACUGACUUAUUGUUUUUCUUUCGUUAUAUGUUUCUCUCGGUAAUGCACUCUUAUUGUUGUGUUUUUUCCUCGUACACUCUAAUGGAAUGCGAGUUGUACAAUGGAAAACAAAAUGUAGCCGGGCCACCGUAAUUAAGCGGGUAUGUGCCGGCAGACGAGUCGAAGAUAACGACGAUAAACCAGAGAAAAGAUCCUCGCUCUGCGGAGAGCCACCGAACUUUCACGACGAAAAAAUCGGUCAACAUCCCCACGAGGCUGUGAAUCCGUAAGAGGAUUCUUCUCGGAACGAGGAAAAGCAACGAUUUGGAAAGCUCGGGAAACUUGCGAUUCCUGGAGGCUUCGAUCAAUCCAAAAAUCAAAACGAUGCACCUCAACAACUUGCUGAACAACUUGCACCAAUGCAGCGAGAAUUAUCACACUCUUCGAGACUCGGACCACCAACAUCGAGCCUUGACGAUCGCUGGUUGCAACACACAUCGCGAAAACCACGUGCGAGAGACUCCGAUAAAAAUCGACCCACGUGGAUGCAACACUCUGGCUUGUGCCACAACAUUAAUCAUUCUUCAUUAUCAACGUUUCUCAAAACCCCACCCACACUGUUCAAGAGCUAAUUUAAUUGUAAUUGAGCUCAAUCAACCAGGAGCCAUUUAGAUGUAAGAUACUAGUCAAAAAACGUCAGUAUUAGAAGUCUAAUAAAUUACCAAAUUGAAUAAUUGCUCUGACAUUGUUGAGAUCAACAGCAUUUUUAUCAUCUCGUUUAUUUAUUACUUCAUCGAAUCGCACAUUCAAUCAUCGAAUAUGUCAAAUUUAUUAAAACAAUAAAAGAAACAAAAAACAUA